AUAGCGUUUCAAGACAGGGACGAGAGUAGGAGCGAGACAACACUAGCCCAUUGUGUUGUCUCGUUCCUACUCUCGUUUCUGUUUUGAAGCGCGAUUA
rnacentral:pre_miRNA from 1 species